GACGAACGCUGGCGGCGUGCCUAAUACAUGCAAGUCGAGCGAAGUUUUUCUGGUGCUUGCACUAGAAAAACUUAGCGGCGAACGGGUGAGUAACACGUAAAGAACCUGCCUCAUAGACUGGGACAACUAUUGGAAACGAUAGCUAAUACCGGAUAACAGCAUUAACUGCAUGGUUGAUGUUUAAAAGUUGGUUUUGCUAACACUAUGAGAUGGCUUUGCGGUGCAUUAGCUAGUUGGUGGGGUAAAGGCCUACCAAGGCGACGAUGCAUAGCCGACCUGAGAGGGUGAUCGGCCACACUGGGACUGAGACACGGCCCAGACUCCUACGGGAGGCAGCAGUAGGGAAUCUUCCGCAAUGGGCGAAAGCCUGACGGAGCAACGCCGCGUGAGUGAAGAAGGAUUUCGGUUCGUAAAGCUCUGUUGUUAGGGAAGAAUGAUUGUGUAGUAACUAUACACAGUAGAGACGGUAC
rnacentral:rRNA from 1 species